rnacentral:rRNA from 1 species
UACGUAGGAUCCAAGCGUUAUCCGGAUUCACUGGGUUUAAAGGGUGCGUAGGCGGAAUGUCAAGUCAGUGGUGAAAGCCUGUAGCUUAACUACAGAACUGCCAUUGACACUGUCAUUCUUGAGUAUAUUUGAUGUGAGUGGAAUGUGUCAUGUAGCGGUGAAAUGCUUAGAUAUGACACAGAACACCUAUUGCGAAGGCAGCUCACAAAACUAUAACUGACGCUGAGGCACGAAAGCGUGGGGAUCAAACAGG